CACUGUCACUCCUACGGGAGGCAGCAGUGGGGAAUAUUGCACAAUGGGCGCAAGCCUGAUGCAGCCAUGCCGCGUGUGUGAAGAAGGCCUUCGGGUUGUAAAGCACUUUCAGUCGUGAGGAAGGCGGGUACGUUAAUAGCGUAUUCGUUUGACGUUAGCGACAGAAGAAGCACCGGCUAACUCCGUGCCAGCAGCCGCGGUAAUACGGAGGGUGCGAGCGUUAAUCGGAAUUACUGGGCGUAAAGCGCAUGCAGGUGGUUUGUUAAGUCAGAUGUGAAAGCCCCGGGGCUCAACCUCGGAAUAGCAUUUGAAACUGGCAGACUAGAGUACUGUAGAGGGGGUAGAAUUUCAGGUGUAGCGGUGAAAUGCGUAGAGAUCUGAAGGAAUACCGGUGGCGAAGGCGGCCCCCUGGACAGAUACUGACACUCAGAUGCGAAAGCGUGGGGAGCAAACAGGAUUAGAUACCCUGGUAG
rnacentral:rRNA from 1 species